CAAUAAGCGGAGGAAAAGAAACCAACAGGGAUUGCCUCAGUAACGGCGAGUGAAGCGGCAAAAGCUCAAAUUUGAAAUCUGGCACCGUUAGGUGUCCGAGUUGUAAUUUGGAGAGGAUACUUCGGGUGUGGCUACGGCGUAAGUCCCUUGGAACAGGGCGUCAUAGAGGGUGAGAAUCCCGUCUUAAGUCGUUUGUCCACGCCCAUGCGAAGUUCCUUCGACGAGUCGAGUUGUUUGGGAAUGCAGCUCUAAGUGGGUGGUAAAUUUCAUCUAAAGCUAAAUAUUGGCCGGAGACCGAUAGCGAACAAGUAGAGUGAUCGAAAGGUUAAAAGCACCUUGAAAAGGGAGUUAAAUAGCACGUGAAAUUGUUGAAAGGGAAGCGCUUGCAACCAGACUCGGUCACAGGGGCUCAGCGAGCAUGCGUGCUCGUGUACUCCCCUGUGUUCGGGCCAGCAUCAGUUCUGGCGGUUGGUUAAAGGCCCUUGGAAUGUAUCGUCCUCCGGGACGUCUUAUAGCCAAGGGUGUAAUGCGGCCAGCCGGGACUGAGGAACGCGCUUCGGCACGGAUGCUGGCGUAAUGGUUGUAAGCGACCCGUCUUGAAACAC
rnacentral:rRNA from 1 species